AACGAACGCUGGCGGCAGGCUUAACACAUGCAAGUCGAGCGCCCCGCAAGGGGAGCGGCAGACGGGUGAGUAACGCGUGGGAACGUACCCUUUGCUACGGAAUAGCUCCGGGAAACUGGAAUUAAUACCGUAUGUGCCCUACGGGGGAAAGAUUUAUCGACAAAGGAUCGGCCCGCGUUGGAUUAGCUAGUUGGUGGGGUAAUGGCCUACCAAGGCGACGAUCCAUAGCUGGUCUGAGAGGAUGAUCAGCCACACUGGGACUGAGACACGGCCCAGACUCCUACGGGAGGCAGCAGUGGGGAAUAUUGGACAAUGGGCGAAAGCCUGAUCCAGCCAUGCCGCGUGAGUGAUGAAGGCCUUAGGGUUGUAAAGCUCUUUCAGUAGGGAAGAUAAUGACGGUACCUACAGAAGAAGCCCCGGUUAACUUCGUGCCAGCCGCCGCAGUAACAC
rnacentral:rRNA from 1 species